UUCAUAUUUCCUCCUCCUCUUCGUCUCUGGUCAGCAGCGGCGGCGGCUCGCCUAGCGCGGGCGUGCGGCCUAGCGACCAGCAGGUGAAGACGGCGCCGGAUCUCCCGUUCCACUCCACUCCUCCCCCAUCGUCUCCCCUUCCAUUCCUCUCCUCCCCUACAGGCAUAUCCCAAAUCCCCAAUCCUCCAUUGCUGCUGUAGUUCUUCAUUCAGUGGUGUCAUCGAAACCAAAUCACUGAGCUCUGGUGGUGCUCAUGGAGAUCCGGCGCGGGGUGGGUAGCAGUAGCAGCAGCAUCACCUAGAUGAGGGCCUGUGCAAGCGUUGGCCUUGGUGGUGCUACAGAUGGCCAUCCAAGGGCUGCAGCACCACUGCCGCCGCCACCUGCAGGACCAGCAGUAGCAGCAGCUUGUCAAGACCAUAAUGAUGGAGACAUUAACAAGGUGUGGAUGCAUGGCUCAAAGCUUGCUGGUCAGGGUUUCAAAUGUGGGUACUGUGGGACUACAAACAAAGGUGGAGGUGCAACAAGGUUUAGGGACCAUCUUGUGGCUGACUUCCAUUCUUAUUUUGGUAGCUGAUUGGUGGUUUCAGUUUGGAGGAGAAGUGCCUACGUUGCAGAAGUAUGCAUUGCGUAUUGUUUCACAAUGUGUUUCAUCUAGUGGUUGUGAGAGAAACUGGAGCACUUUUGCACUAGUGCAUACAAAAAUUAGGAACAAGCUUGGUUAUGACAAGUUGCAUAAACUUGUCUAUGUGCAUUAUAACUUGAAGGAGCGUAUUCGGGAGGAUAGUGGAUACCAACAGAAGGACAAGGAAGUUGACACAAUGGUGGUGAUGAAGAUGAGCCUGUGGUAGCUGCACCAAUAGUUGACUUAGAAGCUUUAGAUGAGGAAGAUGGUAAUCCUAAUGGCCGUAGAUCUGGAAGACUGCAGCAGAAAAGGAUGAGGACCCAGAGCCUAUCUACUCUCUAUGAGAGAGAGUAGUAGGACUCUUGUGUCAGGGUACAGUCUAGCAGCGGUUCUCCAACAAUGGUUCUGGAGGUAAUUUUUUGGUGUGUACAUGGUGAUGGGUGGAUGACUGCCAUGAAACACAAAGGUGUCAGUGGCAAUUGACAAUGCUUGCUGACAUGUUCUUUUGCGUUGCUUACUUGUGGGCGACUUGAUUCUGUUAGUGUAUGUAUGGCUGGCUGGACUGUAAUUAAAGUUCUACUCCAUUGGACUAUUUGAGGAGUGAUGAACUAGACUUCAUGUGGCCUCUGAUUUGGCCUCUUUGUAUUAAAUUUGGAUUCUGAACUAUUCAUGGAGUUCUAUGAACAAACUCCUAAGGACUGUUGUCUAAAUAUUGGUUGUGGGCUAUUGUGAAAUUGAAUCUAUGAUAGCUAUAGCCUUU